GGGAGAUGUCGCAACAAUGUAGUCUUACUUUUUAGAAAUGCAAGCAGGGUGCUCGGGAUUUUAUUUCAAUAUUGAUCUGGACGAAGAUUCGAGGUUGAAAAAUAAUUUUUGGGUAGACAAUCGGUGUCGUCAAGCAUAUAAGGAGUUCAGGGACGUUGUGACGUCCGAUACAACGUACCUCACUAAUAAAUACGACGUGCCAUUUGCCCCCUUUGUUGGUGUGAAUCACCACGGACAAUUAACACUUUUUGUUGUGGUUUAUUAUCAAAUGAGAACAUAGAUUCUUUUGUUUGGUUGUUUAGGACAUCGCUUAAGUGCAUGCACGGUCAAGAGCCACAUGGAAUAAUAAUCGAUCAAGACAGAGUCAUGCAAAAUGCAAUACAAAUAGUUUUCCUUGAUAUGAAGCACGGAUGGUAUUUAUCGCACAUUCUAAAGAAAUUACUAGAAAAGUUUGGUUACCAUAUGGAUAAGGGUUCGAUAUUUUUGGGCUAUACACGUAUUGGUGUAUGAUUCGUAGAAUGUUAAAGAAUUUGAGAUCGGUUGGAAAAUAAUGAUAGAUAAACAUGAGCUGCAAGAUAGUGAAUGGUUGUCGGGUCUUUACGAAAAUAGAGGUCGAUGGGUUCCUUGCUUUCUAAAAAUAUCAUUCUUAGCCGAAAUGUCGGCAACACAAUGAUCUGAGAGUAUUAAUACCUUUUUCGAUGGAUAUGUGCACUUGAAAAUGUCACUGAAGUAAUUUGUGGAACAGUAUGGACGUGCACUACAGAACAAGGUAGAGAAGGAGUUCCAAGUCAUUCUCGCAAAUGGUUCCGUGUGCAACGACGUACGAAAUUGAGAAGCAAUUUCAAGUAGUAAAAACAAUUUCAAAAUUUAGGGAAGUGCAAGCAGAGUUCACAGGGAAGGUAUAUUGUGACAUCAUAUCUAUCGCGAAUGUUUGUUCGGGGACGACCUACGAGGUAUGCGACGAUGUGCUAUAUGCGGGGAUCGAUGAAAGAGAAAAAGAUUCGUAGUGUUAUUUAAUAGGGAGAAUCGUGACAUUGUCUGCACAUGUCACUUGUUUGAGUUUCAGGGAAUUAUUUGUAGGCAUGCAAUCGCGGUACUCAUCCUUAAUGGUGUUUGUGUACUCCUGGAUAGGUAUGUACUUCGGAGAUGGAGGAGGGAUGUUAGUAGAACACACACCAGGGUCGCUGUUAACUAUAGUGGGUUGGUCAGUACUCUCGGACAGUUGCGUUAUGAUAGAAUGUGUCAGGCUUUCGCUACCAUUGCAGACCUAGCCGCAGAAGACGAAGGUCGAACCCAUGUGAUAAUGGAAUGGAUAGGAGUUCAAGAGAAAGAACUUAUGAAUUCGAGGUCGAUCAGCAGAAGCAAUGUUCUACUGCAACGUACUACUCACUACUCAAGUGUCAUCGAACAACAUAGGUUCGCAACAAAAUGUAAGUAGCACGGUAUUGGACCUUAACACAGUGAACAAGAAGGGUGCACCUAAGAGACUUCGAAGAAAGGGCUCGUUAGAGUCAACGUCAAAGAAGCCAACGGUAAGUUCACGUGUUACCUUCUCAAGUGAAAUGGAUUCCUAACAUUAUAUCUCAUUAUAUAUGCAGGCUCCAUCAAAAGGCAAAAGACCAACUACAAAGCAUACUUGUCCACCAAAUUGUGCAUCAUCCAUUCAAACUCAUCAACAGCAAGAAUCGUCGAUGCUCAUUCCAUACACCUAUUCGCAGCUCUUGUUGGUGAGUAACUUUAAUUUAUCCCGUUCGUAUGUUUGUUGUGUCAUUUGCGCUUUCUUAUAUUGAUGUAGGGUGACCAUCAAAGCCAAGUGUUUGCACAAAAAUUACCGACUUCUACACCGAUCCAUCCGUCAUCAACCCAUCCAACAUUCAAUUCUCAAGAUACGCAUUUAUAUGAAAGCACAUCCCUUUUUUAUCCAUAAUCUGUGUGUAUAGAUUAACGUCGUCUUUUAUAGUAGGUUAUGCACAUCCUUACUACUAUCCAAAGGAAUGGCAUGAAGAUGGAAAUGAGUUUUGAUCCAGUUUAAUGCAUUUACUAGUUGAAGAGAUAUAUGUGGUGUUAAUUGCCAGUGUUGAAUGUUUUAUUCAGAGAAUUUGAAUAUAAUCCCUAGAGCAGUGAAGAGUCAAAAGAAAAUUCUCCAAUUACAUGUAAACAAAUUUCCAGUUGAAGAGAAUUUAACAUGGAGGUGUGCUAUGAAAAAGUUCCUCCAAUUUCUGGGGAACAUUUUGGAAUAUGGAAUUUUUUAUUUCUUUUCUUUGGCAUCAUGUGUUACAUUUUUGUGGGGAACAUUUUCGAAUAUGUAAUGCAAUGCAUGACUUGGUCAUAUUUUUGUGAUAUUUUUUACUUGCAUUCUCUCUGGCUUCAUCGGCUUCUUUGAAGCCUGAGGAACUGGAAUCAGGCUUGAUGUUGGUUUAUGUUUCUUUCCUCCUCUUCCCAAGGAUGAUGCCAUAAUCUGCUGAUGAUUAGUCCACUGACUCCCUUGCAAUUCAUCAUUAUCCCAAAAUUCUUGAAGCUCCCUUUCAUUUCAUUGAGUAUUAUUCCUAUCAAACUUCUCCUGAAUUGGCCUAAACAAUUCCCCGAACCUCACUAAUAGCUGCUCCGCUAUCCCGUUCACUUGGUUAGUUUUCGAAGUAUACAGUAAGGCAUUAUUAAAAGUUAGCCUAACAUCGACCGCAAAUUCAACAGGAUAAGAAUAUAAAU
rnacentral:lncRNA from 1 species